GGAAGUGGGGAUGACGUCAAGUCAUCAUGGCCCUUACGGCCUGGGCUACACACGUGCUACAAUGGUCGGUACAAAGGGUUGCCAAGCCGCGAGGUGGAGCUAAUCCCAUAAAACCGAUCGUAGUCCGGAUCGCAGUCUGCAACUCGACUGCGUGAAGUCGGAAUCGCUAGUAAUCGUGAAUCAGAAUGUCACGGUGAAUACGUUCCCGGGCCUU
rnacentral:rRNA from 1 species